GGACUAAUAAGAAAAUGCUGCUAAAUUAGAAAAUAAAAACUAAAAAAAAUAAAGGGUAAAUGGGUGGUGGGCCGAAAUCAAUAGGAUUCGGCCCACCACCGCUAUUGUGCGGCCGGCCCAUCGGCCCGAGGGGAAAAGGGCGCAGGGGGCGAGGGGGUGUUACGGUUAGAACCCUAACCGUUCCCCUCGCGGUGUGCGCCGCCGCCGCCACCGAUUGGCCGCGCGUCCUCCACCUCUUCUGCCGCCGCCGCCAUUUCGCCGCCUCCUCCUCCACCACUUUGGCCGCCGUUUCCACCGCCGCCUUUCUCAUCCACCGCCGAUCCCAUUUCCGCCGCCACCUUCUCCCCCUGAAACGCCGCCACCGCUGCCUCCAUUUCCGCCGCCGCCCACCACCGCCUGCAUCCACCGCCGUCUCUACCGCCCGCCGCCGCCAUCCACCGUCCGCCGCCGCCGCAUCCCCCAUGUCGGCCGGCGGUUUGCCGGCUAGAGUUAGGCCGACGGCCCCAACUCCUCAUCGGAGUCGGAGACCGGUCGAGCCCUUACACCGUUCCCCAUCCCGCCAUUUGAGAGCGUGCGGGAGCCAUGGGGAACGGCGAGCCAUGUGGAGCGGAGGCCGGGACGGCGAGCAGUGGCUUCACCGGCAUGACGGCGAGACGACGAUGGGUUGAAGUAGGCCGGCUCCCCCGUGCGCGCUGCCAUGGUUUCGUUCCGGCCGGACUCCGGUGCCACGGGAGUGGGGGAGCGGCGUUGGCGUGGCGUCGGCGACGUCGUGGCGCGGGUGAUGGCGGGGUUGGAGUAGCAGCAAUGGUGAUGCGGCGCCGAGGGUUGUGGCGGCGGCCACUAACCCUAGGCCCGCGCCUGGCAUGGUGAUGGUGGCAGUGGUGGCGACUCCUCGUUGUACGAUGGAGGAGGUGGUGCAGAUGGCGGGCUCGGUCAUGGCGAGGAAUACCAAGAACGGCGUCGAUCGGCCAAGAACGGCGUCGAUAAGUAACUGAAGCAGGUAUCGACAUAUAUUGUGCUCCGGCCCGUUGCUGAUUGAUUCCAGGUAAGUUUGGCAAAGCGUCCAUGACUCAUAUUGUCAUAUUGCCUCCAUGACAACAAGCGAGGGGAAAUGCUUUAGGUGAAUAACCGGAGGAAGUAUCCGGAUGAUGUAUUUGCUCCUGGUCUAGGUGAAUAGCCUUCUCUGGACACUGUUGUCUGCCCUGGAGGUAGUUUUGAUAACAUUGACAGGUAUCUGGAUUGGCAGGUCCCAAGUACGACGGAGAGGCCGGCGCAGAUUAGAGCUGAUCUAUAGGUAAUCACAUAUGUCCAUAAUAUAUGUUUUUUUUAAUAUAAAUGUUUCCGCACAACAAAUUUGUUUCAGUGCUCCCUCAGUUUUCUGGCGCCAACUUUCCAAUAGUUGUGAGAUAAUUAAUUCAUAUACUGUACCUGUUGCUAUAUAAGAGCAAGUUCAAUAGUAUAGCCAACUACUAGCUCCAAUUCAUCUAUAGUCAAUCUAAUAGCCCAUUCAUACAAUAGUUACAUACUACACUAUUAAUAUCUAGUCCCACCUGUCAUAGACACACUGCGUCUUGGAGUCCGUGCUACAGCUGGCUACAAAUCUGUAGCCCGUUGCUCUUCUCUCUCUUGAUUUAUCUUCGUAAAAUAUGUUUGUAGCUGGCUUAUAGCCUGCCAUUGUACCUGCUCUAACGCAGCAAAGUGUGAUGAAUGUUGGUGUUGAUGAUGGGAUCAUGGGAAGUAACCAUGAGAUAACAGAGGUAUUGUUCGAUGGAGUAAGUGUAUUAUAUGUAUGUAAAUAUUAUAUUAUUGUAAAUCAUUUUGAGGAGCUAGACUAGCGUGCCUUAUUAACAA